CCUACGGGAGGCAGCAGUGGGGAAUAUUGGACAAUGGGCGAAAGCCUGAUCCAGCCAUGCCGCGUGUGUGAAGAAGGCCUUCGGGUUGUAAAGCACUUUCAGUGGGGAAGAAAGCCUUGGGGCUAAUACCCUCGAGGAAGGACAUCACCCACAGAAGAAGCACCGGCUAACUCCGUGCCAGCAGCCGCGGUAAUACGGAGGGUGCGAGCGUUAAUCGGAAUUACUGGGCGUAAAGCGCGCGUAGGCGGUCUGAUAAGCCGGUUGUGAAAGCCCCGGGCUCAACCUGGGAACGGCAUCCGGAACUGUCAGGCUAGAGUGCAGGAGAGGAAGGUAGAAUUCCCGGUGUAGCGGUGAAAUGCGUAGAGAUCGGGAGGAAUACCAGGGGCGAAGGCGGCCUUCUGGACUGACACUGACGCUGAGGUGCGAAAGCGUGGGUAGCAAACAGGAUUAGAUACCCGUGUAGUC
rnacentral:rRNA from 1 species